CCUACGGGGGGCUGCAGUGGGGAAUAUUGCACAAUGGGCGAAAGCCUGAUGCAGCGACGCCGCGUGAGCGAUGAAGGCCUUCGGGUCGUAAAGCUCUGUCCUAAGGGAAGAUAAUGACGGUACCUUAGGAGGAAGCCCCGGCUAACUACGUGCCAGCAGCCGCGGUAAUACGUAGGGGGCGAGCGUUAUCCGGAAUUAUUGGGCGUAAAGGGUGCGUAGGCGGCCUUGUAAGUCAGGUGUGAAAGGCUACGGCUCAACCGUAGUUAGCACUUGAAACUGCAGGGCUUGAGUGCAGGAGAGGAGAGUGGAAUUCCUAGUGUAGCGGUGAAAUGCGUAGAUAUUAGGAGGAACACCAGUGGCGAAGGCGACUCUCUGGACUGUAACUGACGCUGAGGCACGAAAGCGUGGGGAGCGAACAGGAUUAGAUACCCGUGUAGUC
rnacentral:rRNA from 1 species